UGCCAUCCGCCGCGGUAAUACGAAGGGUGCUAGCGUUGUUCGGAAUUACUGGGCGUAAAGAGCAUGUAGGCGGAUGAAUUAGUCAGAGGUGAAAGCCCCGAGCUCAACUUGGGAACUGCCUUCAAUACUUCCAGUCUAGAAUCUGUAAGGGGGUGGUGGAAUUCCCGGUGUAGAGGUGAAAUUCGUAGAUAUCGGGAGGAAUACCGGUGGCGAAGGCGACCACCUGGCCAAAUACUGACGCUGAGUUGCGAAAGCGUGGGGAGCAAACAGGAUUAGAUA
rnacentral:rRNA from 1 species